GCUACUACCGAUUGAAUGGUUUAGUGAGGACUCCUGAUUGGCGCCGCCGCACCGGCAACGGAGCAGCGGACUGCCGAAAAGUUGUUCAAACUUGAUCAUUUAGAGGAAGUAAAAGUCGUAACAAGGUUUCUGUAGGUGAACCUGCAGAAGGAUCAAUAUCGGCUGAGCGUCGUGUAUGUAUUUAUUUUAUAUCUCUUUUGUCUCCUUUUCAUUUCUAUACAUUUUUUUUUUUCUUUUUUUUUUCCUUUUUUUCUCUUCUUUUUUUCUCUCUCUUCUC
rnacentral:misc_RNA from 1 species